rnacentral:rRNA from 1 species
UACAGAGGGGGCAAGCGUUGUUCGGAAUUACUGGGCGUAAAGGGCGCGUAGGCGGCCUGUUAAGUCGAACGUGAAAUCCCCGGGCUCAACCCGGGAACUGCGUCCGAUACUGGCAGGCUUGAAUUCGGGAGAGGGAUGUGGAAUUCCAGGUGUAGCGGUGAAAUGCGUAGAUAUCUGGAGGAACACCGGUGGCGAAGGCGGCAUCCUGGACCGACACUGACGCUGAGGAGCGAAAGCCAGGGGAGCAAACGGG